rnacentral:rRNA from 1 species
CCUUACCAAGGCUUGACAUAUACCGGAAAAGGCUGGAAACAGUCUCCCCGCAAGGUCGGUAUACAGGUGGUGCAUGGUUGUCGUCAGCUCGUGUCGUGAGAUGUUGGGUUAAGUCCCGCAACGAGCGCAACCCUCGUUCUAUGUUGCCAGCACGUCAUGGUGGGAACUCAUAGGAGACUGCCGGGGUCAACUCGGAGGAAGGUGGGGAUGACGUCAAAUCAUCAUGCCCCUUAUGUCUUGGGCUUCACGCAUGCUACAAUGGCCGGUACAAAGGGCUGCAAUACCGCGAGGUGGAGCGAAUCCCAAAAAGCCGGUCUCAGUUCGGAUUGGGGUCUGCAACUCGACCCCAUGAAGUCGGAGUCGCUAGUAAUCGCAGAUCAGCAACGCUGCGGUGAAUACGUUCCCGG